GAGAUGAGGCAGACACCGGCCUCAGGAGGCUCACAGACUGGGGAGGCAGACAGACGUGGAACCUGGCAAGUUUCUCUCCGACAGUUCGAGAAAGCCCAGCGGUGCCAAGAGAGCAGGGGAACAGGAAGUGGGACCAAAGAGCAAAAUGAACCAAAAAACUCAGUCGGCGAAGGUCCCUGGAGGAGGUGAGGCUGGAACUGAAUUCAUUCAGAAAACUGAAAGAGGGAGAAAGAAAUGGUAUUUCUAGAAGACAGAGCUGCAGGUGCAGAUGGCAGGAGUGAGAGGAAGCUUGGUGCCUUGGAAAUCGGGGAGCAGCUCUUCCAGGCAGGGCCUGGGGCAUGACUAACAUGAGGGCCUGGACUGGAGUAGUACAUGCCGGGCAGACCACAAAGGCCUGGUAUGUCACGCUAACAAGUUUGUUUCCCUGAGGAGACCCAGAGGGAUAUUAAGGCAGGAGGGUGAGAACCAUCUGGUUUCACUGAAAUCUCAUGGCUGAGAGUAAGGAUUAGGUUCAUAUCCUAAGACCCCAAUAGCAAUGGCUUACUGCAAAAGGUAGUUGAUUUCUCUAAGUAAAUACAAGAAACCCAGAGUUUAGCAGUCGAGGGAGCUAGCUCCAUGAUUCUCAAGGAUAUGCACACUUUCCAGUUUCUCCUUUUCAUCCCUAGAAGUGGGGUGCUUCAAAAUGACAGCUACCACACCCACCUUCUAGGCAGCAGGAUGCAGGGAGGGAUGGAGAAAAGAGCCAAGUGUGACUGCCCACUGCUUCAAAGGAAUGGCCCCCAAACUCACUUUUAUCCCAUUGGCCAGAGUUCAGUCACAUGGUACAAGGCACUGCAGGGAAGUCUGGGAAAUGUAGUCCUUUUUGGGUGGCCAAAAUACUGGGGCUUCUAUUUCUGUGACUCAGUGGAAAGACACACUGGGAAUAACUAGGAGGCUCUGCCACUGACCUGUUGGACUCUGCUGUGAGAACAAGGGUUAUCAGCUUUAAUCAACAGAUAAGGACACUGUGAUUGGCUCAUCUGUAGUGCUGCUGGGGUUACAAAACUUGGCAUCAAUGCCAGGCUCUCGAGUACUAGGCAAGCUAACGGAGAAAACUGAGGUGGUAUCAUGUCUCUUCCCAAAUCAGGUUCCCAAGAUCCCUGCUUGAGUGCAUCAUCCAAGAUGAGCAGCCCAUCUAUAGAGGAUUCCCCUGAGGUAGUAUUGAAG
rnacentral:lncRNA from 1 species